rnacentral:rRNA from 1 species
AGAGUUUGAUCCUGGCUCAGGAUGAACGCUAGCUACAGGCUUAACACAUGCAAGUCGAGGGGCAGCAUGGUCUUAGCUUGCUAAGGCCGAUGGCGACCGGCGCACGGGUGAGUAACGCGUAUCCAACCUGCCUUACACUCUUGGACAGCCUUCUGAAAGGGAGAUUAAUACAAGAUGUUAUCAUGAGUAAGCAUUUUCGCAUGAUUAAAGGUUUACCGGUGUAAGAUGGGGAUGCGUUCCAUUAGAUAGUAGGCGGGGUAACGGCCCACCUAGUCUUCGAUGGAUAGGGGUUCUGAGAGGAAGGUCCCCCACAUUGGAACUGAGACACGGUCCAAACUCCUACGGGAGGCAGCAGUGAGGAAUAUUGGUCAAUGGACGAGAGUCUGAACCAGCCAAGUAGCGUGAAGGAUGAAGGUUCUAUGGAUUGUAAACUUCUUUUAUACGGGAAUAAACGGAUCCACGUGUGGAUUUUUGCAUGUACCGUAUGAAUAAGGAUCGGCUAACUCCGUGCCAGCAGCCGCGGUAAUACGGAGGAUCCGAGCGUUAUCCGGAUUUAUUGGGUUUAAAGGGAGCGUAGAUGGGUUGUUAAGUCAGUUGUGAAAGUUUGCGGCUCAACCGUAAAAUUGCAAUUGAUACUGGCAGUCUUGAGUACAGUUGAGGUAGGCGGAAUUCGUGGUGUAGCGGUGAAAUGCUUAGAUAUCACGAAGAACUCCGAUUGCGAAGGCAGCUUACUAACCUGUAACUGACAUUGAUGCUCGAAAGUGUGGGUAUCAAACAGGAUUAGAUACCCUGGUAGUCCACACGGUAAACGAUGAAUACUCGCUGUAGGCGAUAUACAGUCUGCGGCCAAGCGAAAGCAUUAAGUAUUCCACCUGGGGAGUACGCCGGCAACGGUGAAACUCAAAGGAAUUGACGGGGGCCCGCACAAGCGGAGGAACAUGUGGUUUAAUUCGAUGAUACGCGAGGAACCUUACCCGGGCUUAAAUUGCAACCGAAUAUGGCGGAAACGCUAUAGCUAGCAAUAGCGGUUGUGAAGGUGCUGCAUGGUUGUCGUCAGCUCGUGCCGUGAGGUGUCGGCUUAAGUGCCAUAACGAGCGCAACCCUUGCCGAUAGUUACUAACAGGUCAUGCUGAGGACUCUGUCGGGACUGCCAUCGUAAGAUGUGAGGAAGGUGGGGAUGACGUCAAAUCAGCACGGCCCUUACGUCCGGGGCUACACACGUGUUACAAUGGGGGGUACAGAAGGCAGCUACACGGCGACGUGAUGCUAAUCCCGAAAGCCUCUCUCAGUUCGGAUUGGAGUCUGCAACCCGACUCCAUGAAGCUGGAUUCGCUAGUAAUCGCGCAUCAGCCACGGCGCGGUGAAUACGUUCCCGGGCCUUGUACACACAGCCCGUCA